CCUCAGGCCAAGGCCAAGUGGAUAUGGGCACCUUUGCAGGCUCUUCCACUAGGACUUGGGGUUCCGCUCCUCUUGUCUCCUCUCUGAGAAACUGCUUCCCAUGAUCCUGUCAACAGGCAGUCAACAAGCACCUGUCCCAGCAAGAGGACAGAAUGGAUACAUAAGCAGAGAGAACUUGGUCAAGCUUUGAAGGAAGGAGAAGCCCAGGACCACUUCUGCAGGGCUCAGCCAGCCAGGAGUUCACCCGACUGAUUCUCCUCCCAGCCCUGCUCCCCAGCUCCCCAGCUCCCCAUCUCAGAACCACAGCAGUAGUCACUGCAUCCAAUCCUGGCAUUUUAUAGGUGCACACCCAGAGAGAGGAAGUCUCAGAUAAGCCUGUGCGGCUGCUGAUGACAGAAGCAGGGGAACCCCGAAGUCCUGGUUCCCAAGCUGGUGCACUUCCUGAAGUUAUUUUGUUAAGGUCGACUGUGCUGAAAUUGAGAUGCUCCUUUUCAGAUGCUUCUUCUGGCUGAUCAGGUCCAGCUCCAGGGAAGUGUGUGGUGGGCAGAGGCAGCAACGUGGUCUAGAACAGAUGGCUCAGCAGUGAAGCUAUAGUUAACAGGCUGGGGACAAAAUACAGAAUGUAGAGAAAUCCCAAAGCCAGGGUGGGGUUGAGUGGGGUAAAGACAAAUGAGAGUGACUCUCUCUUUUAGGGUCUGAGCCAAGGGUGGGAACAGGGUCUUAACUUUGUGUAGUGUUUGUGGAGAAGGACUUUCUGGAAGCAUCUUUCUGAGCCCUUCCACUAUCAUCUGGUGGACACAUGAGCUAUGAAACCUUCCAGACUUUGGAGGCUCAGGAUGAGGGGGCCCAGAGACUCAGAGAGGGAGGGUGUUACAUGGCUAGAAUCCCACCCGGCAGCACUGGAAGGAACAACAGUUCAGUGUCUACCUCUCCCCACUCUUUGCACAGAUGGGAAGAAGUUGGCCCAGUGAGGGAUGUCUCUGCAGAGACAAGAUGAGUAAUAUUAAGUGGUGUUUGUCUUGUGCCUUGUAGCUUUCAAAACAUUUCCUCAAACAUUAUCUCCCUUAAGCCUUGAAAUCAUCUCAAGCAGUAUGUAGAACACACAUUUUUACAGAGGAGGACGCUGAAGCUGAGAGAAAUAAUGUGUCUCAGUGGAAACAACUAGUCAGAGGUAGGCCAGGACUUGACCCCAAGAGUUCUGGUGCCAAAUCCCUGGCUCAGUGGAGCCUUCAAGCCUCUCCAGACUCCAAGACGACCAGGCUUCUGGGUUCCAAACCUGAUUAGUUGGCUUCCUGGGCUUCCAACAUUGAUUCUGUAAUUCACAAGAGCCCAGGUGUGACUCAUUGACUGAGGUCUCAGCAGCAUGCUGACGUCUGGCUGGUUUCCCUUCUGUGACCCACUGCAGGUUCCAAGAUUGAUGGCAAUACUGCAAGACAAGAGGAACCUGCGACCUGAAGGCCCUUGACUGCUUGGAUCAGGAAUAAGCCCUCAACUCCACUGGCUCUCAUCAAACCACGCUGCGAGCAAGGAAUAAACUUUUACUGCAUGAAGGGGAUGCGACUUCUAGGUCGACUUAGUACACCAUCACCCACCCUACUCUAACACACACAGAAAUGGGUUCUUUGAAAUGGAGUGAUGCUGUAACAGACAGGCCUUAGUUCUACAGAAUCCAGCUGCUGUGAGGUCCCUGGUGAAGCUGGUGGAAGAGAACCUUCUGUAUGUACCUGGGGAGUGGCCUUAAAAGAAUCCUGUCAACAACCCGCACAUCAACAUGUUUUGGAUGAUGCUACCUGCUCAGCAGGCAUAGUGAAGUGGAGUGCCUUUAAGAUCACUUUUCACUGGGGGAUGGUUUUGUUGAUGACACAACAUUACUAAUCAAGCAAUUGGGAACCAAGGCACAAUAUUAUUUUGUUAGCUAAUUCCCAUAGUCCAGUCAGAUUUUUU
rnacentral:lncRNA from 1 species